AUCAAUAAGCGGAGGAAAAGCAACUAACCAGGAUUCCCCCAGUAACGGCGAGCGAAGCGGGAACAGCUCGAGCAGGCAAUCUCUGGUGUUGAUCACCAGCGAAUUGUGGCCGGCAGAGGCGGAUGCACCUGACGCGACCCCGUCGAAGUUGACCUGGAAAGGCACGUCGGAGAGGGUGAUAGCCCCGUGCGUGGCGGAGUCGCGGAUGGCCGCUACCGUCUUCAGAGAGUCGGGUUGUUUGGGAGUGCAGCCCAAAGUGGGUGGUAAACUCCAUCUAAAGCCAAAUAACGGCACGAGACCGAUAGCGAACAAGUACCAUGAGGGAAAGGUGAAAAGCACUUUGGAAAGAGAGUUAAAGAGGCCGCGAAACCGUUGGGAGGGAAACGCAUGCAGCCGAACUGGCCCGCGUCGAGUUCAGGGGGAUGCGAGAAGUCGUGCGUGCUGGUGGCACCUUCGGGGUUGCCUGUGCGUUCUGGCGUCUCGUACCCCUGCACUCUCGGCGGUAGGGCCGGCCAAGUGCGGCGGGAUCCUGGCGACGAGCACGGAUCGGGCAGGUAGCGCAACUGCUUCGGCAGAGGCGAACUUAUAGCCGAUCGUGCGGAGCGUCAGGAACCCACCGAGGAGAGUGGUGGCAUUUCCACCCCCGUAGCACAGGCCGCUUGCGGCCGGGGCGCUCUCGUUUGUCCGUCUAUCGCGCUGGGUCACUGUUCGCAGUGCUCUGCGUCGGUGGAAGUUCAGGCGGGAGGUCGUCCACGACUUGUGCUGUGGUCGCUUGGCUAGCCGUCGGCUGCAUUCGA
rnacentral:rRNA from 1 species